rnacentral:rRNA from 1 species
GACGAACGCUGGCGGCGUGCCUAAUACAUGCAAGUAGAACGCACAGUUUAUACCGUAGCUUGCUACACCAUAAACUGUGAGUUGCGAACGGGUGAGUAACGCGUAGGUAACCUGCCUGGUAGCGGGGGAUAACUAUUUGAAACGAUAGCUAAUACCGCAUAAUAUUAAUUAUUGCAUGAUAAUUGAUUGAAAGAUGCAAUUGCAUCACUACCAGAUGGACCUGCGUUGUAUUAGCUAGUAGGUGAGGUAACGGCUCACCUAGGCGACGAUACAUAGCCGACCUGAGAGGGUGAUCGGCCACACUGGGACUGAGACACGGCCCAGACUCCUACGGGAGGAAGCAGUAGGGAAUCUUCGGCAAUGGACGAAAGUCUGACCGAGCAACGCCGCGUGAGUGAAGAAGGUUUUCGGAUCGUAAAGCUCUGUUGUAAGAGAAGAACGGGUGUGAGAGUGGAAAGUUCACACUGUGACGGUAUCUUACCAGAAAGGGACGGCUAACUACGUG